GCCAGUUGCCAACUUUGGCUGAUGUCAAAAAGCUAAAGAGUUAAGGUUUGGUUAGUAUUUGGAUGGGGGACUACCAGAAAAUCCCAAAGCUGUAGGUU
rnacentral:rRNA from 1 species